GUUAAUAAAGCAAAAUAGCUAUGCAAAAGACCUAAGCCCUUUGACCUAUGGGUUCAAAUCCCAUUAUUAACU
rnacentral:tRNA from 1 species